GUCUACAGCCAUGCUACCCUGAACAAGCCUGAUCUCAUCUGAUCUCAGAAGCUAAGCAGGGUCGGGCCUGGUUAGUGCUUGGAUGGGAGACCACCUAGGAAGACCAGGGGCUGUAGGCA
rnacentral:rRNA from 1 species